CACGUAGGCGGAUAUUUAAGUCAGGGGUGAAAUCCCAGAGCUCAACUCUGGAACUGCCUUUGAUACUGGGUAUCUUGAGUACGGAAGAGGUAAGUGGAAUUCCGAGUGUAGAGGUGAAAUUCGUAGAUAUUCGGAGGAACACCAGUGGCGAAGGCGGCUUACUGGUCCAUUACUGACGCUGAGGUGCGAAAGCGUGGGGAGCAAACA
rnacentral:rRNA from 1 species